GCGCGGUAGUUCAGUUGGUUAGAAUGCCAGCCUGUCACGCUGGAGGUCGAGGGUUCGAACCCCUUCCGC
rnacentral:tRNA from 1 species